rnacentral:rRNA from 2 species
CNGUGAAACWGCAGAUGGCUCAUUAAAUCAGUUAUAAUUUCUAUGAUGGUUGUAGUUUCUCUUUUUUUCUUUCUUGGCUUUUCGGAGCUUUGAAGGUGAGAUGAAAUACUAAAUGGAUAGCCGUACUAAUUGUGGAGCUAAUACAUGCACGAGUGGCUCCUUUUUUUGAGGGGGUUGCUAUUUGAAAAAGUCUCAAUCUCGUUUUGCGAGAGAGGGAUGUGUUUAUUAGACGCGAAACUAUGUUUCUUCGGAAACUACGGUGAAUCACAAUAACCUGAUCGAAUCGCAUGUCCUCAUUGUUAUGGGGAUGGCGAUAGUUCAUUCAAAUUUCUGCUUUAUCAACUUUUGUCGGGUGUAUAGAGGACAUCUGAGGUGAUAACGAAUGGCGGGGAAUCAGGGUUCUUUUCCGGAGAGGGAGCCUGAGAAACGGCUACCACAUCCAAGGAAGGCAGCAGGCGCGCAAAUUACCCAAUCCUAACACAGGGAGGUAGUGACAAGAAAUAUCAAUACCGGGUUCUUUUAGAGCUUGGUAAUUGAAAUGAGUACAAUUUAAACCCCUUAACGAGGAUCAACUGGAGGGCAAGUCUGGUGCCAGCAGCCGCGGUAAUUCCAGCUCCAGUAGCGUAUAUUAAAGUUGUUGCAGUUAAAAAGCUCGUAGUUGGAUUUGUUGCGGCGGUUUUUGGUGGCCUUUGCUUUUGUGUUCUCGGCUUUUUUUUAAGGCUGGGUUGACAGGAGUGGGUCACACGCCGCAAUCCUUGAUGUUUUUGAUUGUUCCUUUAUCGGACUUUCAAGUGACAUCAUCCUUUACUUUGAAAAAAUUGGAGUGAUUCAAGCAGGCGAAAUUAACAUGGCGAAUUUCAAAUUCGUUGAUUUAUUCAUUUUUGCUUCUGCACAUGUUAGCAUGGAAUAAUGCAAGAGGACUUGGGUUUUCUCUUUCAUUGGUUUCAGGAAUCCGAGUAAUGAUUGAUAGGGACAGUUGGGGGUGCUCGUACUCGACGGCCAGAGGUGAAAUUCUUGGAUUCGUUGAAGACGAACAACUGCGAAAGCAUUCACCAAGGAUGUCUUCUUUAAUCAAGAACGAAAGUUGGGGGAUCGAAGAUGAUCAGAUACCGUCGUAGUCCCAACCAUAAACGAUGCCGACCAGGGAUCAGCGAGCGUUGACUUUGCGAUGUUUGAAUUCCCUUCUUGGGAAUUUUGAGCAUUUGCAAACCUCAUUAAUUUGAAACGACCUCGUUGGCACCUUGCGAGAAAUCACCAGUCUUUGGGCUCCGGGGGGAGUAUGGUCGCAAGGCUGAAACUUAAAGGAAUUGACGGAAGGGCACAACCAGCAGUGGAGCCUGCGGUUUAAAUUGACUCAACACGGGAAAACUUACCAGGUCCAGACAUCAUAAGGAUUGACAGAUUGAAGAUCUUUCUUGAUUUGAUGGUUGGUGGUGCAUGGCCGUUCUUAGUUGGUGGAGUGAUUUGUCUGGUUAAUUCCGUUAACGAACGAGACCUCAACCUGCCAAAUAGGUUGGUUCGUUGGAUGUUGCUUUUACGCUUUUCUGACGGACGUCGUUGCUUUGUUGGUCUGAUUUUUUUUUUUUAAAUCUUAUCAGCGCACGACCGGACUACUGAGUGUUAAAACUCUGUAUGUUCUGCAACACUUCUUGGAGGGACUAUCAGUUCGCAUCUGAUGGAGGUUUGAGGCAAUAACAGGUCUGUGAUGCCCUUCGAUGUCCUGGGCUACACGCGCGCUACACUGAUACAUGCAUCAAGCAGUUCAAUUUUAUGGUUGGUUCCUUUUUUGGGAUCAAUCUGACACCUUUGCUGAUAAGCUUGGGGAAUCUUUGAACUUGUAUCGUGAUGGGGAUAGAUGAUUGCAAUUAUUCAUCUUCAACGAGGAAUUCCUAGUAAACGCGGCUCAUCAAGCCGCAUUGAAUACGUCCCUGCCCUUUGUACACACCGCCCGUCGCUGCUACCGAUUGAAUGGUUCAGCAAGUUUUACGGACUGGCUUCCUUGUUUUGUCGUAUGAUGAGACUGGGUUGAAUGGGGGUUUUCUCUCAUUCUUUUUUGCCGGGAAGUGACACAAACUUGACCAUUUAGAGGAAGCAAAAGUCGUAACAAGG